rnacentral:rRNA from 1 species
AUACGGAGGGUGCGAGCGUUGUUCGGAAUUAUUGGGCGUAAAGCGCGUGUAGGCGGUCUGUUAAGUCUGAUGUGAAAGCCCCGGGCUCAACCCGGGAAGUGCAUUGGAUACUGGCAGACUUGAGUACGGGAGAGGAAAGUGGAAUUCCGAGUGUAGGGGUGAAAUCCGUAGAUAUUCGGAGGAACACCAGUGGCGAAGGCGGCUUUCUGGACCGAUACUGACGCUGAGACACGAAAGCGUGGGGAGCAAACAGGAUUAGAUACCCUAGUAGUCC